AGCCCUCUGUAUCCGUGCUGAGAUUUCGUCACACACCAGACCACAAGGGGAGGGGUGUGGAGACUUCCAAGAUAAGUGAGGCG
rnacentral:pre_miRNA from 1 species